AAUACCCUUACCUCUCACAAUAAAAGAGCACAAGGUGCCUAUGGUGUCCAAACUGUUUUCCUCACAUACGCCACGGGACCAGGCAACCAGGAAUUGUCCAUACAAUGGUUCCAGCACUGCAAAAGCAAAGCCCCUUAGAACAGCUCGUCUCCAUCCUUUAGUCAAAUCCCAGCAGUAACUGACUUGCAGAUCUCCACUUCUGCACUAACAUUUUGCCAUUUGGUGAGUCUGAGAUUGAAGAAACAACUUCCUUUUUUUUUUUCUGUAUUUGCAGAUUUCUCUGUUGUUCAGUACCACUGCUGAACCAGGGGGUUUUGGGUGUCUUUUUGUCUUUCCUUGUUCAUGCCAAUCAAAGAAAACCUCGACCAGAAGACUUCUAAGCCAACAGGGUCUGGAAAUGGAACGUAAAUCUAUGGUUGGCUCUUGCCUGUACUGUAAAGUGGGUAAGAAAGACAAACAACAAACAACUCUUACUGAAACAACCCUGCUUUCUGCAAGCUGAAAAGAAGCAAACUUCUCCCAAACACUGCGUUCCUCCACAUCCACUGAUCAUAAUUAAAUCUGGUAGAUUUUAUAGCUCAGGAUGAUGAAGUGAAACUGAGUUUAGCUAUGAAAAAACUCCCCAAAAGUUGCAAGAUCUGUUUCACAACCACCAUCUGAGAAUGUUUCUUCUUUCACUUGCCCUGCUGAAUAGAAACAGCUGGUACUAGAUAAAUCUUUAGGAUUCUUACUUGCCUAAACAGUGUUUACCAAAUGGAAAUCAUCUGGAAAAUGUGGAAGCAUGCCUUCUUUGUAUGCUUUUUCUUCUGUGUGAGAAUUUACGAAAUGUCCCCAGAAAAAGAACAGGAACAAUUGCCAAACAAUGAUUGAUUAAAAAAAAAUAUAGGAAUUUAGAGCAAUUAAUUCUUACAUGGACAUGAUAUAAAAGCCAAGUAAUAAAGGACAUUUUAUUCCAGUCA
rnacentral:lncRNA from 1 species